rnacentral:rRNA from 1 species
AUGCAAGACGACCAUCGGUUGGCCUUUUUAAACAAACUCCUGGGUCCAAGACAUAGGAGACUCUUCACUUAUGAAAAGGAGUUUGUGGCUAUCUCAACAGCGGUGUAUCAGUGCCGACAUUAUCUACAACAAAAUGAAUUCAUCAUUCAAACUGAUCAAAAAGGUUUCACGCAUAUCAAUGACCAAUGAUUAGCUACCCCUUGGCAGGAAAAAGCUCUUACUAAAAUUUUGGGCUUAAGGUAUCGCCUUCGACUCCUUAAAGGAGUUGAUGAUAAAGUGGCAGAUGCUUUGUUAAGAAAGGAAGGGGAACUAGCAUCUCUCUCUCUCUCUCUCUCUUCUAGUAUGGUUAGAUGA